rnacentral:rRNA from 1 species
GCGCAGCAGGCGCGAAUCCUUCGCAAUGCGGGAAACCGCGACGAGGGGACUCCCAGUGCCUACGCUCAGCGUAGGCUGUUCCCGAGCCUAGAAAGCUCGGGGAGUAAGGGCUGGGUAAGACGGGUGCCAGCCGCCGCGGUAAUACCCGCAGCCCGAGUGGUGGCCACUAUUAUUGGGCCUAAAGCGUCCGUAGCCGGCCCGGUAAAUGCCUGGGUAAAUCGUGAGGCCUAACCUCACGAAUUCCGGGUAGACUGCCGGGCUAGGGACCGGAGGAGGGAGAGGGGUACUCCAGGGGUAGGGGUGAAAUCCUGUAAUCCCUGGAGGACCACCGGUGGCGAAGGCGCUCUCCUAGGACGGGUCCGACGGUGAGGGACGAAAGCCAGGGGAGCGAACCGGAUUAGAUACCCCCGUAGGU